rnacentral:lncRNA from 1 species
CCCGCCCACACCCGCCCCGCUGCCCCGCCCGUCCCACCUGGAGGCCCGCUCAAGCCCCGCUGUCCCCGCAGGGCGUCCUCCAGAAACGCGGCUGCUGCUACUCCUGCGAGGAUGAUUCCUGCCGGGUCCGCGUUCAAAGAAAGGCGCUGCGGCUCGGGGACUGCGUCAGCCCGGCGCUCGUCAACGUCCCCUUCUGCGAGGGCUCCUGCCUGGGCUUGUCCGUGUACUCCCUGGAGGCCCAGGCCAUGCAGCACGAGUGCACCUGCUGCCAGGAGAAGAGGGCCCACCAGGAGGUGGUGACCCUGCAGUGUCCCGAUGGGACAACCAUCCAGUACACCUACAUCCACGUGGACGCGUGCAGCUGCACCCCGGGCUGCGCCCCCUCACCCGAGGCUCCAGAGGACAGCACCCCCAUCCUCCUGCUCUAGGAGGCCACCACUGCCGGUCGUCAUUCUGCCCCCGUCCCACACGCCCUCCAUGUCUGGAGGCAGAACAUGCCCAGCCCAAGCACGGAAACCUGGGGCGGGGCAGGGAGGGUCUGCUUGAGGACGGCACCCGGCGGGGCCCUGCCCCUGGAGCCCCUCUGGCCCGUCUUGGUCACCUGCCCGGCCAUCAGGGCCUGCCCCUCAGUGGAAACACAAAUACCCAUUCCACCCAGACUCACCCCUUCCUGGUGUCAGAGAGCACCCUGGAGCAAAACCACACAUCCACCACUGCGCAGCUCCCCACUGCGGGCCUGGGUGCCCCCAUCUCUCCUCGAAGCCCCGUGGGGCACAGAUUCCCGCAGCAGACUGAGGACUGAGGCCUGUCCAGGCAAGGCUGGCUGCCUCCAAGAGGUGGUGUCACAUAGGGUGGCUGCCUGCCCAUGACCUGGACCUGAAGCUGUGACAGCUGAGGGGCAGGCGGGGAGGGGUGGGCACCACACAGCACCCCCUCCACCCACCCAGUUUCAAUCUUGCAAAUAAAUGCUGAGCACUGUGCACAAUUCCUGGUCCUGGUGUCUCUUCCCACCAACCGUGUCCCCGGGCUCUCCCCUC